UAUGUUAUUUGGGCCUUUUUCAAAAAAUGUGGAUUUUCUUGUACAAUCAAUAUUUCUAAAAAAGUGUAAAUAUUUUUAUCCAAUUUUUAGAUACACAAUUUAGUUGUUGGUGUGUGUAACAAGUUCCAGCAAAUUCAAUAUGAAAUUUAGCUACAGAAAUUGCUUCCAGUGGGUUUCAAAGGGUCCAAAAACCCCAAAAUUGCUUGUACGAAAUUGAAAAACUAGUCUUUUUUAAAUGCUGGUUUUAAUACCCAGCUGAAAUUAAUAUUUUUCUUUUGUUAUUAUAAAUAUAUAGGUAUCACUGCAGGUAUGUAUACACAAAUACAGGGAAUUAUUAGAUUUUAUUAGCAUUUUUUUUUACUUUUCAUUUCGUACUUAAAAAAAUGUCAACUACAUAACACAAAUGAAAUAAUGUUGCCAAUAAACAACUGAUUAUAUCCCUUGUAACUAAGGAAGUGCUCUCUACUUACUCUUCAUCCUCUGAUGACGUGCUUAAAGUUACAGGAUGACAUCAUUGAUUCAUUUCAUUAUAGAUUAGUUUUAGUGAGUACAAAUUACUCCGUAAUUUUAUUCUAUGUCAACUUUGUAACGGCAAAAACAUUGAUAAAUUUUGGCAUAAAUAUGUUUUUUUACAUAAAUUAUUCAAAGUCUGUAAUACUGACUCUAAUUGAAUAAAAACCAUUUAUCUGGUAGUAUUAGGGUCAAGAAAAACAUCCAAAAACCACAAAUAGGUCAACUACAUAACGGUCAACUACAUAACGCAGUGAAUCGUUAUGUAGUUGACAAAAAGCGUUAUGUAGUUGACAAUGCUGAAUUAAAUUCACUUUAAAAUAUGUUUCUAAAAAGUGUUAUUUUAACCAUGUUAACUGUUUUGAAAAAAGUGUGAUGAUUUUUAUGGAAAUAUAUAU
rnacentral:lncRNA from 1 species